GAUGAACGCUGGCGGCGUGCCUAAUACAUGCAAGUCGAGCGAACAGACGAGGAGCUUGCUCCUCUUACGUUAGCGGCGGACGGGUGAGUAACACGUGGAUAACCUACCUAUAAGACUGGGAUAACUUCGGGAAACCGGAGCUAAUACCGGAUAAUAUAUUGAACCGCAUGGUUCAAUAGUGAAAGACGGUUUUGCUGUCCCUAAUAGUUGGAUCCGCGCCGCAUUAGCUAGUUGGUAAGGUAACGGCUUACCAAGGCGACGAUGCGUAGCCGACCUGAGAGGGUGAUCGGCCACACUGGAACUGAGACACGGUCCAGACUCCUACGGGAGGCAGCAGUGGGGAAUCUUCCGCAAUGGGCGAAAGCCUGACGGAGCAACGCCGCGUGAGUGAUGAAGGUCUUCGGAUCGUAAAACUCUGUUAUUAGGGAAGAACAAAUGUGUAAGUAACUAUGCACGUCUUGACGGUACCUAAUCAGAAAGCCACGGCUAACUACGUG
rnacentral:rRNA from 1 species